ensembl:lncRNA
UCCAGACUCCGAAGGGCGCGCGUUGCUGGAGUACAUCACGUGAAAUGCUGGGCUGGAUGAAGCAGAAGCUGGAAUCAAGAUUGCCGGGAGAAAUAUCAACAACCUCAGAUACACAGAUGACACCACCCUUAUGGCAGAAAGUGAACAGGAACAAAAGAGCCUCUUGAAGUAGGUGAAAGAGGAGAGUGAAAAACCUGGCUUAAAACUCAACAUUCAAAAAUGAAGAUCAUGGCAUCCGGUCCCAUCACUUCAUGGCAAAUAGACGGCGAAACAAUGGAAACAAUGUCAGAUUUAAUUUUCUUGGGCUCCAAAGUCACUGUGGAUGGUGACUGAAGCCAUGAAAUUAAAAGACACUUGCUCCUUGGAAGAAAAGCUAUGACAAACCAAGACAGUGUAUUAAAAAGCAGUCAUUACUUUGCCAACAAAGGUUCAUAUAGUCAAAGCUAUGGUUUUUCCAGUAGUCAUGUAUGGAUGUGAGAGUUGAACCAUAGAAAAGGUUGAAUGCCAAAGAACUGAUGCCUUUGAACUGUGGUGUUGGAGAAGGCUCAUGAGAAUCCCUUGGACGGCAAGGAGAUCAAACCAGUCAAUCCUAAAGGAACUCAACCCUGAAUAUUGCAUUGGAAGGACUGAUGCUGAAGCUGAAGCUCCAAUAAUUUAGUCACCUGAUGUGAAGAGUUGGCUCUUUGGAACAGACCUUGAUGCUGGGAAAGAUUGAGGGCAGGAGAAGGGGCGGCAGAAGAUGAGAUGGUUGGAUAGCAUCACUGACUCAAAGGACAUGAAUUUGAGCAAACUCCUGGAGACAGCAGAGGACAGAGGAGCCUGGUGUGCUGUGGUCCAUGGGGUUACAAAGAGUUGGACAUGACUUAGUGACUGAACAAUGAGUGUGGACUUCCUGGUGGCUCAGCAGUAAAAAAUCCAUCAGCAAUGCAGGAGAUGAAGGUUUGAUCCCUGAGUUGGGAAGAUCCCCUGGAGGAGAAAAUGGCAACCCACUUCAGUAUUCUUGCCUGAAGAAUCCCAUGGACAAAGGAGCCUGGGGGGGCGACAGUCUAUGGAGUCGCAAGAGUCAGACAUAGCAUAUGCGCGCGCGCGUGCACACACACACACACACACAGUGUGUGUAUGUUAAUUCCACAUUCCUCAUUUUAUCCCUCCCCCCCCUUUCCCUUUUGGUAACCAUCUUUGUUUUCUAUGUCUAUGAGUCGGUCUCUGUUUAGUAAAUCAGGUUAUUAGUAUCACUCUUUUAGAUUCCACAUAUGAUAUUUGCUAAAUGCUUUUCAUAUGUAUCAGCUCAGGUAUCCUAAAACCAAAACCAAAAUUCCCCUUCCCAAAGAAAAACUCACAAGGAGGGAGCAGCAAUGGCACCACUGAGAUGGGGAGAAUGAAGCAGAGAAAGGUUACAUAACUGGCUUGAGCACAGCGAGUGGCC